rnacentral:rRNA from 1 species
AUUGAACGCUGGCGGCAUGCCUUACACAUGCAAGUCGAACGGCAGCACGGGAGCAAUCCUGGUGGCGAGUGGCGAACGGGUGAGUAAUAUAUCGGAACGUGCCCAGUCGUGGGGGAUAACGUAGCGAAAGCUACGCUAAUACCGCAUACGAUCUAUGGAUGAAAGCGGGGGAUCGCAAGACCUCGCGCGAUUGGAGCGGCCGAUAUCAGAUUAGGUAGUUGGUGAGGUAAAGGCUCACCAAGCCGACGAUCUGUAGCUGGUCUGAGAGGACGACCAGCCACACUGGGACUGAGACACGGCCCAGACUCCUACGGGAGGCAGCAGUGGGGAAUUUUUGGACAAUGGGCGCAAGCCUGAUCCAGCAAUGCCGCGUGCAGGAUGAAGGCCUUCGGGUUGUAACGUUAGACUUUGUUACGGUAACG